GCGCGAGCAGGUGCGAAAGCAGGUCAUAGUGAUCCGGUGGUUCUGAAUGGAAGGGCCAUCGCUCAACGGAUAAAAGGUACUCCGGGGAUAACAGGCUGAUACCGCCCAAGAGUUCAUAUCGACGGCGGUGUUUGGCACCUCGAUGUCGGCUCAUCACAUCCUGGGGCUGAAGUAGGUCCCAAGGGUAUGGCUGUUCGCCAUUUAAAGUGGUACGCGAGCUGGGUUUAGAACGUCGUGAGACAGUUCGGUCCCUAUCUGCCGUGGGCGCUGGAGAACUGAGGGGGGCUGCUCCUAGUACGAGAGGACCGGAGUGGACGCAUCACUGGUGUUCGGGUUGUCAUGCCAAUGGCACUGCCCGGUAGCUAAAUGCGGAAGAGAUAAGUGCUGAAAGCAUCUAAGCACGAAACUUGCCCCGA
rnacentral:rRNA from 2 species